ACGCUCGACACCUACGGAGGCAGCAGUGGGGAAUAUUGCACAAUGGAGGAAACUCUGAUGCAGCGAUGCCGCGUGAGGGAAGAAGGUUUUCGGAUUGUAAACCUCUGUCUUUGGGGACGAUAAUGACGGUACCCAAGGAGGAAGCUCCGGCUAACUACGUGCCUGCAGCCGCGGUAAUCUGAGCGGGCUGGCAAGGC
rnacentral:rRNA from 1 species